GACGAACGCUGGCGGCGUGCUUAACACAUGCAAGUCGAACGAUGAAGCCGGAGCUUGCUCUGGUGAAUUAGUGGCGAACGGGUGAGUAACACGUGAGUAACCUGCCCUUGACUCUGGGAUAACUGCGGGAAACUGUAGCUAAUACCGGAUACGACCCUCGGAGGCAUCUCCUGGGGGUGGAAAGAAUUUCGGUCAAGGAUGGACUCGCGGCCUAUCAGCUAGUUGGUGAGGUAAAGGCUCACCAAGGCGACGACGGGUAGCCGGCCUGAGAGGGUGACCGGCCACACUGGGGCUUGGACACGGCCCAGACUCCGACGGGAGGCAGCAGUGGGGAAUAUUGGUCAAUGGGCGCAAGCCUAAACCAGCAACGCCGCGUGAGGGAUGACGGCCUUCGGGUUGUAAACCUCUUUCAGCAGGGACGAAGCGAAAGUGACGGUACCUGCAGAAGAAGCACCGGCUAACUACGUGCCAGCCGCCGCCGUAA
rnacentral:rRNA from 1 species